CUUGAUUUCAAGUCUUUUUUUUUUUUUCCUCAUUUGGGAAUUUCGGUUUUCUAGUUGUAAUAGUUGUUAAACCCCAGCUUCUGAAGCUUAAAAUUCUUCUGUCAUGUAUUUUUUGCUCUUGAUUUCUUAAUCAUUACAAAUAUCAAAUUUUCAGUCUUUGGUGAUAAUUACCUGUUCAAUUACAAAUUUGAAAAGAUAUGAUGAUUAAAAUAUUCUGUCGAAAAAAUGAAUGAUUGAACAAAAUUGAAAAGAAGCUGAAAUCAAUAUCUCAAAUCCUUUUAGAAUUCAUAUUUUCUGUUUGCGACUAGAAAAGAG
rnacentral:misc_RNA from 1 species